CCCAUGCUCAAAUGAUGAAACAAGUGUUGGUAGGGACAUCUGAGUGAAGUUGAGGAAACGCCAACCUAUCUGAUUGCAUGGG